GAGGUGUGCUCAGAGCAGGGGGCCUGAAGAAUGGUUCCUCUGUUUAUAACACACCCAACAGGAAUCUGGAGUCAUUGAGAUGAGAGGCGUGAAGCUUGUGGCCUCCCUACAAACAAAUGCUCUACAUGU
ensembl:snoRNA